rnacentral:rRNA from 1 species
UACGUAGGGUGCAAGCGUUGUCCGGAAUUAUUGGGCGUAAAGAGCUCGUAGGCGGUCUGUCGCGUCUGCUGUGAAAACUCAGGGCUUAACCCUGAGCUUGCAGUGGGUACGGGCAGACUAGAGUGCGGUAGGGGAGACUGGAAUUCCUGGUGUAGCGGUGAAAUGCGCAGAUAUCAAGGGAGGGAACACCGGUGGGCCGAAGGCGGGUCUCUGGGC